rnacentral:sRNA from 1 species
GAGCAGAUUUCUCAUUUCGCUUGACGGUCGCCGCCGCGCGUCUGCAAGGUGAAGA